rnacentral:rRNA from 1 species
GACGAACGCUGGCGGCGUGCCUAAUACAUGCAAGUAGAACGCUGAAGGAGGAGCUUGCUCUUCUGGAUGAGUUGCGAACGGGUGAGUAACGCGUAGGUAACCUGCCUGGUAGCGGGGGAUAACUAUUGGAAACGAUAGCUAAUACCGCAUAACAGUAGAUGUUGCAUGACAUUUGCUUAAAAGGUGCAAUUGCAUCACUACCAGAUGGACCUGCGUUGUAUUAGCUAGUUGGUGGGGUAACGGCUCACCAAGGCGACGAUACAUAGCCGACCUGAGAGGGGGAUCGGCCCCACUGGGACUGGGACUCGGCCCAGACUCCUACGGGAGGCAGCAGUAGGGAAUCUUCGGCAAUGGACGGAAGUCUGACCGAGCAACGCCGCGUGAGUGAAGAAGGUUUUCGGAUCGUAAAGCUCUGUUGUAAGAGAAGAACGAGUGUGAGAGUGGAAAGUUCACACUGUGACGGUAUCUUACCAGAAAGGGACGGCUAACUACGUG